GGGCGGAGACGGACGUUGCCAGAAUAUCUCCCUGUUAAGUCCGUGUUUCCUUUUUUUCUCUUUUUUUCUGUGUUUGCGUGUGUGUGUGCCCACGUGUAUGAACUGACCAUUAGGAUAACCACAAAGCAUAGUUCCCCCGGUGCUAUGAAGGCGUGGACUCCCAUUUGAAUCGUGAAAAGUGAAAAAUAAUGUGGCCUUUGACUCGCGACUGGAAGAGUGACUGUUGCUGUGCCCCGUGGACCUGCUGCUGCUGCUGCUGCUGCUGUGGCAGUGUGCGGUGAGUGUGGUGCUUGGUGGAGGCGCAGAGCGAGGGAGGGGCGCGGCGCUGCUCUCCCGGGUAGAAAGCUGCUGAAGGAGAUGCCAUGCGCAGCCAGCCACCCCACCUCUCUCUCUCUCUCUCUCUCUCUCUCUCUCUCUCUCUCUCUCUCUCUCUCUCUCUCUCUCUCUCUCUCUCUCCUAUACGCAUAUUCCUCUCCCAGACCUUCAUCUCCUCCCCCUCCUCCCCUCCUCCAUUGCUCCAUCCACACUCCCUCCACGAGCCUCCACCGACCACCAGGAGGGAACAUGAGUCGUCCAGGUCGUCUUAACAAGGCGCUGAGUUGACGUGAGUGGGCAGAGGAAGAAGAAGUAGAAGAAGAGGAAGAGGAAGAAGAGGAAGAGGAGGAGAGGGAAGGAAGAUCUGAGCUGCGGAUAAGAU